rnacentral:rRNA from 1 species
GUCCACGCCGUAAACGAUGGACACUAGGCGUCGGGGGGAGCGACCCUCCCGGUGCCGUCGCUAACGCAGUAAGUGUCCCGCCUGGGGAGGUACGGCCGCAAGGCUGAAACUCAAAGGAAUUGACGGGGGCCCGCACAAGCGGUGGAGCAUGUGGUUUAAUUCGAAGCAACGCGAAGAACCUUACCUGGGCUUGACAUGCACGGGAAAGCCGGUGGAAACAUCGGCCCCUCUUCGGAGUCCGUGCACAGGUGCUGCAUGGCUGUCGU